ACUCAAUAGAUACCCCGGUAGUCCACGCCCUAAACGAUGGAUACUCGACAUACGCGAUACACAGUGUGUGUCUGAGCGAAAGCAUUAAGUAUCCCACCUGGGAAGUACGACCGCAAGGUUGAAACUCAAAGGAAUUGGCGGGGGUCCGCACAAGCGGUGGAGCAUGUGCUUUAAUUCGAUGAUACGCGAGGAACCUUACCUGGGCUAGAAUGUAGUCUGACCGUGGGUGAAAGCUCAUUUUGUAGCAAUACACAGAUUAUAAGGUGCUGCAUGGCUGUCGUCAGCUCGUGCCGUGAGGUGUUGGGUUAAGUCCCGCAACGAGCGCAACCCCCAUCACUAGUUGCCAUCAGGUAACGCUGGGAACUCUAGUGAAACUGCCGUCGUAAGACGCGAGGAAGGAGGGGAUGAUGUCAAGUCAUCAUGGCCUUUAUGCCCAGGGCUACACACGUGCUACAAUGGGGCGUACAAAGGGCUGCCACUUAGCGAUAAGGAGCCAAUCCCAAAAAACGACCUCUCA
rnacentral:rRNA from 1 species